GACGAACGCUGGCGGCGUGCCUAAUACAUGCAAGUUGAGCGCUGAAGGUUGGUACUUGUACCAACUGGAUGAGCAGCGAACGGGUGAGUAACGCGUGGGGAAUCUGCCUUUGAGCGGGGGACAACAUUUGGAAACGAAUGCUAAUACCGCAUAAAAACUUUAAACACAAGUUUUAAGUUUGAAAGAUGCAAUUGCAUCACUCAAAGAUGAUCCCGCGUUGUGUUAGCUAGUUGGUGAGGUAAAGGCUCACCAAGGCGAUGAUACAUAGCCGACCUGAGAGGGUGUUCGGCCACAUUGGGACUGAGACACGGCCCAAACUCCUACGGGAGGCAGCAGUAGGAAUCUUCGGCAAUGGACGAAAGUCUGACCGAGAAACGCCGCGUGAGUGAAGAAGGGUUUCGGAUCGUAAAACUCUGUUGGUAGAGAAGAACGUUGGUGAGAGUGGAAAGCUCAUCAAGUGACGGUAACUACCCAGAAAGGGACGGCUAACUACGUG
rnacentral:rRNA from 1 species